rnacentral:rRNA from 1 species
UACGGGGGGGGCAAGCGUUGUUCGGAAUUACUGGGCGUAAAGGGCUCGUAGGUGGCCAACUAAGUCAGACGUGAAAUCCCUCGGCUUAACCGGGGAACUGCGUCUGAUACUGGAUGGCUUGAGUUUGGGAGAGGGAUGCGGAAUUCCAGGUGUAGCGGUGAAAUGCGUAGAUAUCUGGAGGAACACCGGUGGCGAAGGCGGGUCUCUGGGCCGAAACUGACGCUGAGGAGCGAAAGCGUGGGGAGCAAACAGG